rnacentral:rRNA from 1 species
UGAGGAAUAUUGGUCAAUGGCCGAAAGGCUGAACCAGCCAUGCCGCGUGCAGGACUACGGCCCUACGGGUCUUAAACUGCUUUUGAGAGGGAACAAUAAGGGCUACGUGUAGCCCGACGAGCGUACCUUUCGAAUAAGCAUCGGCUAACUCCGUGCCAGCAGCCGCGGUAAUACGGAGGAUGCAAGCGUUAUCCGGAUUUAUUGGGUUUAAAGGGUGCGUAGGCGGCUUCUUAAGUCAGCGGUGAAACUCACGGGCUCAACUCGUGACCUGCCGUUGAUACUGGGAGGCUUGAAUACGGAUGAAGCGGGAGGAAUGUAUGGUGUAGCGGUGAAAUGCUUAGAUAUCAUACAGAAGGCCUAAUGCGAAGGCAUCUCGCUAAUCCGUCAUUGACGCUGAGGCACGAAAGCGUGGGGAUCAAACAGG